AUUGAACGCUGGCGGCAGGCCUAACACAUGCAAGUCGAGCGAGCGGCGGACGGGUGAGUAAUGUAUGGGAAACUGCCUGAUGGAGGGGGAUAACUACUGGAAACGGUAGCUAAUACCGCAUACCAUCAGAUGAACCCAUAUGGGAUUAGCUAGUGGGUGGGGUAACGGCUAACCAAGGCGACGAUCAGUAGCCGGUCUGAGAGGAUGAGCAGCCACACUGGAACUGAGACACGGUCCAGACUCCUACGGGAGGCAGCAGGGGGGAAUAUUGCACAAUGGGCGCAAGCCUGAUGCAGCCAUGCCGCGUGUAUGAAGAAGGCCUUAGGGUUGUAAAGUACUUUCAGCGGGGAGGCGUUACCCGCAGAAGAAGCACCGGCUAACUCCGUGCCAGCAGCCGCGGUAAUAC
rnacentral:rRNA from 1 species